UACAGAGGUCCCAAGCGUUUGUUCGGAUUCACUGGGCGUAAAGGGUGCGUAGGCGGCGCGGCAAGUCGGGUGUGAAAUCUCGGAGCUUAACCCCGAAACUGCAUUCGAUACUGCCGUGCUUGAGGACUGGAGAGGAGACUGGAAUUUACGGUGUAGCGGUGAAAAUGCGCAGAUAUCAGGAGGAACACCGAUGGCGAAGGCAGGUCUCUGGGCAUUAACUGACGCUGAGGACGAAAGUGUGGGGAGCGAACAGGA
rnacentral:rRNA from 1 species